rnacentral:rRNA from 1 species
GAUGAACGCUGGCGGCGUGCCUAAUACAUGCAAGUCGAGCGAACAGACGAGGAGCUUGCUCCUCUGACGUUAGCGGCGGACGGGUGAGUAACACGUGGAUAACCUACCUAUAAGACUGGGAUAACUUCGGGAAACCGGAGCUAAUACCGGAUAAUAUAUUGAACCGCAUGGUUCAAUAGUGAAAGACGGUUUUGCUGUCACUUAUAGAUGGAUCCGCGCCGCAUUAGCUAGUUGGUAAGGUAACGGCUUACCAAGGCAACGAUGCGUAGCCGACCUGAGAGGGUGGUCGGCCACACUGGAACUGAGACACGGGCCAGACUCCUACGGGAGGCAGCAGUAGGGAGUCUUCCGCAAUGGGCGAAAGCUUGACGGAGCAACGCCGCGUGAGUGAUGAAGGUCUUCGGAUCGUGAAACUCUGUUAUUAGGGGAGAACAAAUGUGUAAGUAACUAUGCACGUCUUGACGGUACCUAAUCAGAAAGCCACGGCUAACUACGCGC